rnacentral:lncRNA from 1 species
UGAGGAGGCCUCUGCAGUUAAUGUAUCAAAAGAAAAAGGAAAUUUUAGUUUCAAAGAGAAAAACAAAAAAAUCAUGGUAAAAAGAGAGAGAAGAAAUUACAGGGAAGACAACAAAAAAAGAGCCCUCUACUCUGAAUCAUAAUUGAUAUUAGGAAUACCAUUUAAUGUUGGAUGGCUACUUAUUUUCUUAGAGAACAUGCAAAGGCACUGCAUAUCAUUUUAUUAAGGCAGACUUAGAAAUGAUAACAAGGCUUGGUUGAUUGUAGUGCUAUUUGCUAAUCCACUAAUUCUAUGGUGAAUUUUCUGCAGUAGAAAAGACAGUAGUAAGCAUAUGAGCCAUAAAUAGUUCAUUGGAAAAUUUAGCACACUUACAUAAAUUGUGCAGAGGAUAUAUGUCAACCUGAUGUUACUUCCUUUCUGCAGAGCUAUGCAUCGAUUUUGUAUCUUCGAGUUCCAUCUGUAUUCCAAAUGAUUUUACGAGGCAAAGAGAUUGAACAUCAUAAUAUUAUUGGUGACAUGAUGAUGAAGAAUCAUGUUAUUUACAAACCAGUGAUGACUGAUGGAUUUCCGAGGGAUAUCGAUGUAAAGAUUACAAGUUCUGUACCCAUCGUUUCUUGUAUAGUGAUGAUCCCUUAACAUAUUUUGUGCAUGGUUCCUCAUCUUUGCAUGCUAGAUGAUGACUGAUGUUACAAUUGGUUUUGUUAAAGAUGCAAAACAUCAUAUUCCCAUUCAAGGAUUUAAUGUUUACCACAAGAACCGCUUGAUAAAGGUAUUCAUUUAGUUAUGCCACAUAUAUAUUCUUAUGAUGAUGAAAAUAAAUACAUUUUUAUUUCUAGCUUCUAAAAUGACUGCACAUCCAUAUACCAAUUUUACAAUUAAUGGAAAGUAAAUAGAUUUGGGAUUUGCACAUUUAUGUUCUAUGUUAAAUUUCUCUGUAACUCUUAUGUUUUAAGCUGAUCUAUUUUUGGAGUAAAAUGCACCAUAGGUCCAUAUGGUCCUGUUGUCAAUUGGGCAUCGCACUUGGGUUCUUCAAGUUGCGGGCAUGUCGCUUUGGUUCCUACUUGCAAGCUGCACAUAUAGGUCUGUAAUUUUGUAAAGCAGUGUCAAAAAAGGUCAAAAACCUUCGGUAGUUAAAGAUGAUAUGAUAACUUAGCUCAAUCUAAACCACAAUGUGACCAUGCUAUCACCUUUUUUUAGAUAAUGGAAGAUGAGGGAUACAUCUCUGGUGGUCUGGCCUAUGCAGAAUGCACCCAGCCAAUGUUUCACCAUUUGAAGUCAUUGGGAAACUAAUAUUUUUUUGUUUGAAUAAUAAAGUUUGUUUCUGCGUGCCGUUGAUUUUCGAUGCUUCUAAUUGAUGGUAGUUGGCAAUAGCAUUGUCAUAUUUUAGCUUAAAUAGGAUUGAGGUGCCACAUUUCCAAUUAAGCUCAGUGUCAGCUUCUAUUGGUACACCUACACAUCUAAGGAUCUAGAUGUGCAAUCAUCACGUUGAGGAUAAAUGAUAACGUGCCCACACAAGUUUAUGGACUUAUCGCACACCUUAUUUCUCUUAUUACGCUUGGUAAUCAACUGAAUAUUUCUUGUUCUAAGCAUGGCCAUCAGCCUGUCUUAGGUGAUUAUAACAGUCAGGAUACGAGUCUCAUCAGAAGUAUAUAUGUUUUUUUAGCCUUUCUGGAGAGUGUGGGCUCUACCUGGAAUUCAAGGGCGUGGUGUUAUAGGUAAGAAAUCCUUCUAUAAGCCCCUUUGGCACAACUUCUUCAUGUGUGGAAAGCUGAUACUGGAAGAAGCUGGUGACAGACAGCUUCUCCUUCAUAGCCGUAAGUUGCUGCAGAAUCAGAUUCUGUCAAACAGCGACACUUCAACUUCUUAGUGGAGAAGCUGAUGUAGAAAUUGUGCCUAAGGGGUCUGUAGGUCCCUUCUUCAGACCAUGUGUAAUCAUUAUAACUUGCAGGUGUACUUGAAGUCAACUUUGUAGAACCAGCUCAUGAUAAGCAGGACUUUGAACGCACAAAUAGCCUUGCAAGACUCGAAGCACGAUUAAAUUUAAUGCAGAAGAAAUACUGGUUUGUCAUGUCGUUUUGCAUUGUCCAUUUGUUGUCUGUAGGCAUACCAGUUCUUUGAAGAAUUCUAAUUAGAGUCUAAUUACCAUGGAAAACACUUACUUCUGUUUCAGGUCUGAUAAUUGCCAUCGAAUAGGUUAUGGUGGCAAUUCUGCUAACAGAAAAUCUGGGAGAGAAUAUAAAGGUAGGUAGUGACGCAGGGCUCCCUGCUUGCUUUAUUUGGAUUACUUGGUUUGGUUAAUAGCUUAAUAUUUGUAUUUUUUUUUCAACUACAUAGUACAAAACAAGAUAAACCAAAUUGGUUUGGAACUUUAGAUAGCCCUGAACGCAUGCAUGCAUACCUUUGAACCUAGCAACCUUAGUUCUUUCUUUUCUUUGCGUUUUCUUUUUGGCAGAGGUUUUCUUUUACACAGUUUUUCUGCAUAACCUGUGCUAACAACUGAGAAUUUUUUUUUUGUUUCAUUCUAAGGACAUACUAUUAUAUGUUGAUUCAAACAAAUACACUGGCAUGCAUGUCAGUUGGCAACUUCCCUUGUGUGUUCAUGUUUGUACAUCCAUUGCCAAACAUAUGUCAAGACAUAGGCUAAAUAUGCUAAUUAUAUAGUUGAUGCAUGAGACAAUUGCUUUAUUAAGUACCCUAUUAUUUUGUUGGAAUAGAGACACCUGAAAAUACUCCACACACAGGACCAACAUCAGAUCAAUCUCCUGAAGGCUGUAGAAGUUCGAAUUAUUUGCAAAGAAAAAGAAGUUUUGGAAGUCCAUAUUCUGGAUCAAGUAAUAACAAUAGCAAAACUGGAAUAACAUCCUUGAACACAAGUAAAAUAAGUCUUCCUGAGAGCAGAUUCUCUUUAAGAACAACAGCUCAGCAGACAGUUGAGAAGACCAAAAGGACCUUAAGAUAUACGAGACCACUACUGCACGGUCUAUCACAUACAAGUAAUGAUAGUGAUGCUCAGACUUCAGGCACCCCAUCAAGAUCAACUUCUCAUAUUCUAAAGACACCUGAAAAAUCAUGCCACAAUGAGAAUACUUUGCCUUUAAUUCCAUCUAGUGAAGCAAUAAGAAGUGAAGGGACAACAAGAUAUCAGUCAGAGGUAUUUGUGUUCCUCUACAUGUAAUAAACUUUGUUUCUGUUUCCAAUAUUUGUGGGUAUAGUGGUAGUUAAAUAAGCUUUAUCAUGAUCUUACACAGUAAGUUGCAUUCAUAAUGGCUGCAACAUAGCAGAUAGCACAAAGCUUGGAUUGGUUUUUGGUAGAUCCUUUACUGUUGAAGUGUUCGAUUUCCUUUUGGCCUCAGGAACAAUAAGAUGAAUGUACUCUGCACAACUUAUCUCACUAUGGGACCAAAAAAAAGAAAAAGAAGCAAAUGAUAAUACCCUACCUUGUUCUUUUCCUCCAUCUUAAUUACAUUGGAUGACCUCCUUCGGUCAUCCCGACAAAAAAAAAAAAACAUACCUUGUUCUAUUCCAGUAAUUAUGUGAUGGAAAAUAGUUGACAUGGGAUGAUCUCUCAUAGUUUUACUUUCUUCUAGAUGACUGUUUCAGUAGAGAUGACCUCUCACCUUAGGAAGACAGUAACAUUCCUCCCAUUAAAAGUUAACAAAGUAUGUAGUACCAGAAAAAGGAAUGCAGAUGAGUGAAGUUUAAGUACAGUGUAAAUUAUAGUAAGAAAAAACUGAAGAGCAAUGAGAGAUGGUCAUUAAAGAUGUACUGAAUGUCCUAAUCUAUCCUUCUUUACAUUUUGCAAAUUUUCCUUGGUUUGUUCUUUACAUAUCAAGAGCAUUUUUUUUUCCUUUUGAGACAACUGAUAUAUAUGCUUUACAGGAAAGAAAUGUAACAAAUAAUGGAGAUGGACAAACUGUUGAUAACCCUGAGACAGUUAUCAAAUUGUUGACCGAUGAAAAUUCGUCAUUAAAAGAAAGGUAGCUAUUACCAGUGCUUCAUUCAUUUCUUUUUUACGUUUUACUGGCAGUUGUAUGGACAAUAAUAGGCGGUAAUCAGUUGAAAUCUGAAAUCUUAAGUAAUGUUGAGAGGUUAAAUGUUACUGUAGUUGAAUUUAGCCAACAUAUGGGUGUUUAUUCCAGGAACUUUAACAUUUGCCACAUGUUCCUUUUUAUUCCUUUGUUAACAUCAGUACCCUUUUUUGAAUUAUUAAAAUUGUUUCCUGAUGUAUGAUCAGCAGAAACUUGUUUGUUUAAUUCAAAAUUCAUGUAAAAUUUUUAUUUUAAAAUCACUUUAUUUCCAAACAGAAGUAUAUGACACCAUUUAAUAUCAAACCCAAGAUCAUGAAAGCUUGGCUUAGAUAUUUGGUUUUUCAGUGUUCAAUAUAUCAAAGGUCCUAAUCCAAUGGAUUGCUUGUUAAAGGUUUUCCCCAAAUGACACUUAGUUGUUCGCAUGAAAUAAGAUUUGGAACUUAGAGUGACUUUUCCUCUUCAUUCUUGUUUUUUUCCCUGUGUGAUAGUAUCAUGAAGAUGGAGGAAUCUUUGUCAAGAGAAUUACAUAUCGAACGGGACAAGAAUAAGUCUCUCAUUGAAAGGGUAAGCAAUACUAACUUUUACCUGUGGGGCUGUUGGUAGUAUACUGUGUGCUUGUCCUGAAAUUUUUACUAUUUAGCCCUUAUUCAAAACUUGCUGCAAAAAUGAACCCCGCCAAAAAAGUUCAACAAAAAAUGGCCCCUGAUCUCUGCACCAUCGGACUGACACUGAGAUCGCGAUGUUGGCAUUGACCCUUGCCACGGUGGUGGGUGGGGAGACUGGCGUGGCAAAGGGGGUCAGCACCAGAGGUAUUGGCGCUAACCUCCUAUUGGUAAAAGGGUAAUAGGCUAUUCUAUACAACGAUGCAAAAUGUGGUGCAGUGGUGUGAUGUCUCAUGCUACCAACACAUUUAUUUUCUUCUUUAUCCAAAUCAUGCCUAUAUAUGCCUAAUUCUGACCAGCUAAUCGAAAGUAUGUUUUAUGUUUAGCUAAUGUGAACUGUAUAUUUUUGCAAAAGUAAUUAGUACCUUUUUUUAAAAAAAAAAACAAAGAAUUUGAACAUGUGUGUGUAUGCUUAAUAAUGGUCAUUCAAAGAAGAGGGACUCAUCCUAAGAAGGCCUUCUUUGGUAAAGCAACAAACUACUAUAAGGCCUUCUUUGUGUUGAAGGUGUGCCUACUACAUUUUUAAGUUAUAGGAGGUUAGUGCCAAAGGCCUCGGGGCUGACCCCUUUGCCACAUCAGUCAGCGAGCUCCCCUGCCACCACCGUGGCAGGGUCGGUGCCAGCAUCGAUAGUGCUGAGUACCUCAGCGCGAGGUCGGAGUCAAUUUGUGGUUAAAGUUUUUGGUGGGGUUCAUUUUUGCAAUAAGUUUUCAAAAGGAGCAAAAUAGUCAAAACUUCAGCUUGCCAUGCGUUACCCCAAUUACAGGUUACCAGAAUUUUAUUCAACUUUGCACCUACUGAGGACAAUUUAUUCUUUUUCACUACAGUUUGGUGUAGUGAUUUAUAGAAACAUUUUAGGCGUCACAAAAUAUACUGACAUGACACAUGCGAUGCGAUUUACUGGAGCCAAUAAUGGCUUGAAGGGUUUGAAAGGUCAGACUGCAUUAUUUCAGUCUUUGUAACCAAGUCCUUCCAUAUUUUGUUUUCCAGUUGGAGAAUGUUCAGAAGCAACUUGGAACUGCAAACAAGGAGCAAGAAGCAUUGGUAGAUAUCUUUACAGAAGAAAGAGCGCGUCGAGACCAAGAGGUGGAGAACCAGCGGACGAAACUAAAGGUUAGUUAGAUCUUAAAACUGUAGUGGAUUUAUUGCGCGAAUGCACCGAUCCAAUCCGCCUUGUCGUUGAGGAUGGCAUCACGGCAUAACUAAGCUCCUCAGUCGGCAUAGCCAUUUUUGAUGUCGUCUCUGCUGUUCCAGGAGGCGUCGUCCACCAUACAGAACCUGCUGGAUCAGCUGAAUGCUGCCAGGAGCUGCCGCAAGAACUAGAAAUGGAAUGAAGAAGAUCAAUUACCUCGUUGGUCCAUUGUGGCUAUCGCCGUAAAAUAAGUUUCCCUUGUACAUGUUAGAAUAAGCUAUAUAUGUCCCAGAUGGUUAAUUGGUGCUAGAACAGCUAGCUGUUGGUAUGUUUUAUGUGCAAGGUAUGCAGUGCUGCAUUUUCCAGUGCUAACAAAGAAGGGUGAGUCGACCACCACUCUAAACUCGAAAAUGUGGGAGAUCGACCAUAUCGGUUUCAGACCUUCAGUAUCAUUCGAUGCAAUACUUUGUCUAAACUUGAGCAGUAUGUAAAACUGUAGUUCUAAAACUCCUAUCAUAAUGUUAGUCUGGUUAAUCUUAUAUUUUUACGAGUUCACCUUGGUGUGUAUUAUGUUUCUCGGUAUUAUAAUUGUCUUCCGUGUUGAUACGCACAUAUGCUUUUCCUAUGAAGUCCAUUUUUUGGUAGUAAAUUUAUUUUACAAAACAUUAAUCAUGAACUUGGUAUAUACAUGAUCACCAAAAGCUUAUGUGGAAUAUGAGGUGAUGAACCGACCGGUUAAAGAAACAGAAUUGUAGAUGUAGGUGUUGACGCAGUAGGUGAACGUUGGGGUGAGGAAUACUGAGGAUGUUGCCAGAGAGUACGCUGGGGUAAAGCUAUAGAUGGCCAAAAUGGCCGCCCCGCCCGGGGGCGGCUGAUAAGCGAUCAGCCGCGCGCGCGCGGUCAGUCGCCUCCCUCCUCCCUCUAGUAUCUCAUAUAUACUACUAUAUACAUUUUAUAUAUAUAUAUAUAUAUAUAUAUAUAUAUAUAUAUAUAUAUAUAUAUAUAUUAUUUGUUUGGUGCUCCAUGGUGCCCGGGCACCAUUGUUGAAAUUGAGUAUAUACCCAAUUCAAAUGAGUAUGAAACUUUUUCAAUUACUUAGGUAUUAACAUUAACUACUUUACUAACUAGUUUAAAGCAAGUUUGAACUGAAUUUGAACUUGUUUUUGUUAGAUUUUGAUUCUAGGUAUAUAGCAUCCAUACAUAUAAUUAGUUAGGUAUGUAAUCAUGGAUUGUGAAAUAAAGUUAAAUUUGAGUUGUUUUGUUGAUAAGUAUAGGUAUGAAUCAAAUUAUUAUAACUAGGUAUAUACUCACAAUUUGAAAAUUUUGAAAAAUUUGAGUGAUUUUGUGCAUUAGAUACCAUGGUGCCCCAUAUGAGUGUCCUAUAUAUAUAUACAUAUGUAUAUAUAUCUAUACAUAUGUAUAUGUGUGUAUGUACAUAUGUAUAUAUAUAUAUAUAUAUAUUUCAAUGCAUAAAAAAUAUAUACACAUAUACACAAAGUUUAUAUACGCAUAAAAUAUAAAAAUAAAUAAAAAAAUACAUCAUGAAUAGAAAGUUUGUAUACGCGUAUAUACAAGUUUAUAUACACAUAUAGAAAGUUUGUAUACGCGUAUAGAAAAGUUUGUAUACGCGUAUAGAAAGUUUAUAUACGCGUAUACAAACAUUCUAUAUGUACGAAUACAAACUUGGUAUACAUACGAAUACAAACUUGAUAUUUAUACAUCUCGAAAAAAAAAGGAAAAAAAGCCGAACAGAAGAGAAACCGGAAAAAUAACAAACCGAACGGAAAAAAAACCAGAGGAAAAAACCAAACAGAAACGAAAAAACCGGUGAAAAAAACCAACCGAACAUAAACGAAAAAAAGGGAAAAAAACAAAAAAAACGAAAAACUCGCUCCUCAUCCCUGUUAGAGUUUGUGUCGAAUAUGUGUACAUAGUCGGUUACAGUUUAGGACUAGGAGUUGUAAUAGGUAUUAGGACUAGAGUAUGAGUCGGACUCUAUCCAAGGUUCUCUCAUAAAUAGAGAGGCAUGCCUGUUGUAACCGCAUGGCGACUUAGCAUAGCGAGAGGGAGCGACUGAACUCCGUUAACAAAUAUCGUGUCUCGGUGUCGUCAUCGUUUUGGAUCUCCUAUGACGUUUUCUUCCGCGUUUAGCUAACGAUGUUGAUUUCGGGGCUGGUUUUAUAACAAGUGGUAUCAGAGCCUACAUGAGGUCCAUGGUAGAGGCGCGAUGGAGGUGCUCCACACCGCGUAGCCUGCUGUAAUGCCCACGGAGGGGCAUUGGCGCAAGGUGAAGCAUGGCGGAGAUCAACGGAGUCUUGAUCGGUGGAUCGAACACUUCUGGCAGCGGCCGGAACCGUCGAUGGCUGCUUUCAACAGGGAGAUGACUAGACGUGGUGCUCGGGUUGAUGGCGGCGGAAGCGAUUGGCGAUCCAAUCGGUGGGUCAGACACUUCGGGCGGGUGGCUCGGACUUUCCGGUGAGCUACUCUCGACAGGGAGACGUGCGGCCGCACGCUCGGGUUGAUUGAAGCUGGAGGCGAUCGGCGUUCUCGAUCGGUGGAUUCGAACGCUCUGGGCGGGGUGGCCCGGGCCUUUCGAUGAGCUACGUUCGACAGGGAGACGGCUAGACGUAGCGCUCGGGUCGUUCGGCGGCUGGGAAGACGGCAUGCGACUUGUCGGCUUCAGCUCGCGACUAGAUUGAUGGCGUUUCAAUCGGAAGUCGGAGCGGGUGGAUCCUAUAGGCUGUUUUGGAGGUGUUGACGAGGUAUUUGCACGAUGGAAUUGCUUCAAAGGCGGCGUAUUUUGUGGCAUAUGGCUGAACAAAGCCUAGGGCGAAUAGAGCAGCAUCUAGUAGCGGUUCAACCCUGGAGAGGUUUUGGUUCAACCUGUUUUUCCCUCUAGCAGACAAGAAGUAAACCACGUGGGCUGUAGAUCAAUGACAACAGUUGUUGGUGGAGUCGUCGGUGGUGCUUGGCAUUGGUGCUAGAUGUUGUCAGAGAUACGAAGAAGCCCAGGAGGUCAGGGUCGCGGCGGUGUGCGCGUCCUGCGUCGAAGCCGAGCCGGCGACGGAGAUCAGGGCGAUGCCGAGAAGGAGCUGGCUAGGGUUUUAGCUAGGUCGUGCAGGGUUCGGUCUUGAGGGUUUGUGGUGUGGAAGACACGGACAUGGAGUCGUCUCCGGUUCGGUCACGGCGCGGACACAAUUGAAGACAAACAGUGGAUACCAAGUUUCAACACGAAGGGGAAUCGGACGAGGACUACGAUUAGUUCAUGAAUCGGACUCGAUUUUUUCCCAAAUAAAAGCAGCAGAGGACCACGGGAUUGCAACAACGCAAUCGAAACAAAUCACCUAGCAGAGGGCGAGAUUCGUACCCGAUUUUCGCAAAGGCGGAGGUGGUUUGGGCGGCGAGGUCACGGGUGGCUGGAGGCGCAUCCUUGCAGGCGGUGUGUGGCGGCGUGGUACUCGGCGGCGUCCGUCGGAGCUCGAGCGAGAGCUUGCGGCGGCGGCUGCGGCGGUUCCCGACGAAGAACCGGCGUAGGUCUUCGGUGGCGGUGCUCCCAAGGCGGCGCGGCAGCCUCUUGCGGGGCCGGCGGCUCCCCAAGGUCCGGCGGCGCGGCGGCUCCUCGUGGGUCGGCACAGGCACUAGACGGCGGCGGGAGGCGAUGGUGGUGUGCGGCGGCGCAAGGCAGCGGUGUGCGGCAGCUUCGGCAACGAGGCGGCGGCGCAUCGGGUAGGGCGGCAGCGUGCGCAGGAGGGAGGAGCGAGGAAGCCGAAGAGAAAAGGGGAUCGGCUCGAUCUGAGCCGGUCUUUGACCGCUGUUGUCUGGUGGUUGACCGAGUAAAGGAGACCGAGUCCGGUUUUUUGGAGAAAGAGAAAAAAAACUGAUUCGGUCCGGCUGGUACUGUUCGAGUUAGUCGGUGGGGUCGAUUGAACCAGGGCAGAUCAAUUUAACAGGGCAACAGCUAUUGAGUUGAUUAUCGUCGAUGGCGGCAACGGUGGUUUCCAAAUUUGAGGUGGUGAAGUUCGAUGGCACCGGGAAUUUCGUUCUCUGGCAGAUGAGGCUGAAGGAUCUGUUGGCUCAACAGAGGAUAUCCAAGGCUCUUGAGGAGACGAUGCUGGAAAAGAUGGAUGCUGGCAAGUGGGAGGAGAUGAAGACGCAGGCAGCUGCAACAAUAUGCUUGAGUCUCUCGGAUUCUGUCAUGUACCAGGUCAUGGAUGAAAAAACGCCGAAGGAAAUUUGGGACAAGUUGGCAAGCCUGUAUAUGUCCAAGUCGCUGACAAGUAAGUUGUAUCUCAAACAACAGUUGUAUGGUUUGCAGAUGCAAGAGGAGUCAGAUCUUAGGAAGCAUGUGGACGUCUUCAAUCAAUUGGUUGUGGAUCUAAGUAAGUUAGAUGUGAAACUGGAUGAUGAAGACAAGGCCAUAAUUCUUCUGUGCUCGCUUCCACCGUCUUAUGAACAUGUGGUGACUACCCUAACGCACGGCAAGGAUACUGUCAAAACUGAGAUAAUUUCGUCGUUGCUUGCACGAGACUUGAGAAGAUCAAAGAAAAACGAGGCAAUGGAGGCUUCUCAGGCUGAGAGUUUGCUGGUCAAGGCAAAGCAUGAUCAUGAAGCGGGGGUGUCGAAGAGCAAGGAGAAGGGGGCACGGUGCUAUAAAUGUCAUGAGUUUGGACAUAUAAGGAGGAAUUGUCCGUUACUGAAGAAGAGGAAAGGUGGCAUUGCAAGUUUAGCAGCUCAUGGUGAUGAUUCAGAUAGCAGCAGUCAUGAGAUUCUCACAGUGUCUAACGAGAAGUCUGGAGAAGCGUGGAUGUUGGACUCAGCUAGUUCCUAUCACGUGACAUCGAAGCGGGAGUGGUUCUCUUCAUACAAAUCUGGUGAUUUUGGUGUUGUUUACUUGGGCGAUGACACGAGUUAUCGUUUGUUGGAGUGGGCGAUGUCAAGUUCAAGAUGUAUGAUGGAAACGAGGUGCUACUUUCAGAUGUGAGACACGUGCCGGGACUAAGGAAGAGUUUGAUUUCGCUUGGGAGCCUACAUGAGACAGGUUGGUUGUAUCAGGUGGAUUCUAAUAGGAAGACCAUGAAUAUCAUGAAGGACGGCAAGACUGUUAUGACUGGUGAGAGGACAAGCUCAUGUUUGUACAAGUUACAAGGAACUGCUGUUGUAGGUGGAGUCAUGGAAGAUGGGCAUGCUGGUGUUGCUGUGCACGAUCCUGAAGGCGGCGAGUCUAGCGUAGGCUCGUCAGGCGGCUUGGCGUGAGCUGCGGCAGAACCAACUCAAGUCCUGGUACACGGAGGUUCGAGCAAGUAACAGAUUCGGAUUGGCGUGGCAUAUUCGCCAAGGUGGAGUUUGUUAGAGUUUGUGUCAAAUAUGUGUACGUAGUCGGUUACAGUUUAGGACUUGGAGUUGUAAUAGGUAUUAGGACUAGAGUAUGAGUCGGACUCUAUCCUAGGUUCUCUCAUAAAUAGAGAGGCGUGCCUGUUGUAACCGCAUGGCGACUUAGCAUAGCGAGAGGGAGCGGCUGCCGGCGUCGACCGGCCGUGAGUCGUUGUAACUCUGAUACGCUGUAUAUGCUGGAUCGGGGAGGAGCACCCGUAAUCAGUGCCCCAGAGAUGUAGGCUACGGCUGAACUCCGUUACCAAAUAUCGUGUCUCGGUGUCGUCAUCGUUUUGGAUCUCCUAUGACGUUUUCUUCCGCGUUUAGCUACCGAUGUUGAUUUCGGGGUUGGUUUUAUAACACUCCCUCCGGCGCGUCGCCGCCCCCUCCCCGCGCGCGACACGUGUCCAGUCGCGCGGGGAGGGAGGCGCGCGACUGAUCGCCCAAUAGCAAUCUCGGCCCCGCCCGGCACAGCGGCCGUGCCUAGGCCAAGGUCAGUCGGGCCAGCAUGGGCCUGACUUACACGUCAGGCCAUGCCGGGCUGACCCAAAGGCAUGAUAUUCUAUCGUGCUUCUCUACAGAAUAAGUCUAUUUUUCCUAUCUUAACUCUUUGGGCUUUGUCUAUAUGGCUGGAAAUACAUCUAUUUUGUAUUUCUCUUCUCUUUGGGUCUUACCUUAUAUGGUUGAUUAAGCCUAUUUUGCGUCCCUCUACUAUUUUUCUUCCAUUGUACUGGGCCGUGCCGACCCAACGUGCCGAGGUAGCAGCCCAGACACGGCACGGCUGUUGGGUCGGGGCGGCACAGGCACAACCCCAGUCAGGCCGUGCCGUGCUUGGGUCGGGCUAAAUUGCUGCCUUGGGCUGGGCCGUCAAGCCUCGGGCCAUAUGGCCAUCUAUAGGUGAAGCAACAAAUGUCAGUGAUGGCAAAGCUUGACGCCUUGUAACUUAAACGCCGUGAUUAGGGGCUCUACUAAGUCAAAGCUAAAGCUAAAGUUAAAAUAUAAAUUUUUAAUUUUAAUUUUAAAGUUAAUUUUAAGAUAUUUUCAACGUAGUUUUUUUAAUAUUAGCUUUUAAGUCGCUAAGAGCAUCACUAACCGCAAUCCUAUUUCCUUACUAAAACUAAUUUUGAGGGUUUUUAGUGAAAAAAUUGGAUCCAACAGAUUCCCAAAAGCACUGCAAUAGUUUUGGAGUUCCCAUCCCCAUAUAUUUCGCUCUAUGGAUUUGAGGGCGAGAGAGUGACUCCCAAUCUCUCGUUCGCGUGUUUCUCCUCUCCUUUAUGCACGAGCAGUGAAAAUUUCUAAAUUUCUGUCGGUGAUCGCGAUCUCUUUCUGCGCGCAUGGAAGGAAAAAAAGGGAAUUUCUGUUGGUUGUUUAACAGAAGGGCCCAGUUUUUGGGAUUGAAUAUCUUUUGGAGGCAGGAGUAUUUUCACUUCCUAUUUUCAGUUUUGGAAAAAAUUUUGGGAUAGAUUAUUGCUAAUCUGUUGGUGAUGCUAUACAUAUACAAGAUUUUUACAUAUAGAUUAAUUUUUUAUACCUUAAUAAGCCGUUUAGGGAAUGUGAGCAACCGACAGGGGCGGAGCCAGGCAAAAAUGGCAUCGGGGUCACUAUAGUUCUUAUUCUUUACUACUUACGUACAACAUGUACUAUCUCCGUUUCAUAUUACAAGUCGUUUUUUUCUUAAUCAAACUUGUUUAAGUUUGACUAUGUUUAUAGAAAAAUAUAGUAACAUUUCUAAUAGAGAAUAAACAUUUUAUUUAAAAUAUGUGGUAUACUCUCUCCGGCCCAUUUUAAGCGCAAUCAUAAAUUUAUGUGUCCAUUUUUUAUCGUUAGUCUUAUUUGAAAUUUUUUUUAUGAUUAGUAUUUGUAUUGUUAUUAGAUGAUACAACAUGAAUUGUACUUUAUACGUGACUUAUAUCUUUUUAUUUUUUUCAAAAAGAAUGAAAUAAGAUGGAUGACUAAAUUUAGACACGGAAACUCAUGAGCUUAAAAUGAGAUGAAGGGAGUAUUUAAGUCCAGAUGGGGAUAAUUUGUUUUAGUUUUCACGAGGGCAUGAUAGAGGAAAGAAGUUGAAGAUGGGGAUAAUUUGUUUUAGUUUUCACGAGGGCAUGAUAGAGGAAAGAAGUUGAAGAGUGUCUGCUUAAAGAAAACUAGGGUUUUUGUUAGGAGGCUUGGCUCAAGGGAUCUGAGCCUUCGUUCCUUUUUCUCUGAUUCAACGGUGGUGGAAGGGUCGGCACACAGGGCCACAUGGAUGGUUGGAUCAAGCCUCGUAUCAGAUAGUACGGUCCACGUGAAUUCGAACGUGUUUGCUAUUUCACCAGAUGAUGAGGGGUUUUCUAAAAAAUCGCUGACGUGGCGCUCUCCCAGCAAUCCCACGGCUUUUAAGUAAACCUAUAUUACGUGGGCAGCCAGCUCUGUACUACUUCUAGUUAGUAAUAUAGGCUUGUAGGCCUUUUAUGAUACACGUCAUUACCUGAAAACAGGCUUGAAAAGCUAGCCUUCUAAUCCCCAAAACUUAAUGGCCGAGCUAGUGGAACGAGAUGGCAAAAAGAAACGGGGUCAGAUCAAAAUUUUCACCGGGGUCUUUCUAGCAUUACUAAGGUGGUAAGGUGGUGUUUGGGAAGGAGGAACUAAACUCACAAAAAUUUUAGUCCCUAUAGAAGGGGUUUAUGUUUUUGUAAAAGGGACUAAAGUUCAGUGGUGGAGCCAGGAUUUCAAAGUUGGGUAUUUCUGUCUAACAAAAAAAAAGUUCAUAGUAGAAAAAAAAUCAAUGGUUCACACUAUGUCAAUACUGAUAAUCUAAAAAAUAAAACUACAAAUUAUUACAUGGUACCUCUAAUUUUCUACCUCAGGCACAACCUCAACUGCAGUAAUCUGAAUCUGAACUGGACUCUCAUUUGCAUAUGUAAUCGGCUGAACAAAAGGAACAGCAACUUCGCUAUCAAUUCUAACGGGCUGUGCUGUUGAUCCAGAACCAGAACCUGACCCUACCUUCCUAGACUUUGAAUGUCUAUCCCACAAAGUCUUCAAAUCAAUCGAUUUCUUCUUCAUUUUGAGAGCUCUUUAAUCUACAGAACUACAGAAGUACAGAACAAAAAAAAAAAACUACUCAGAGACUAAGGUAAAAAGACAUGGACACAUGAUGAGUGGAUUUAGGCUGAUUGAAUCUUGAACUCUUGAUUGCUCACCUGAAGUUGUGCUUGCCGCCGGGCGCUGUCCCGUUGAGCCGCAGCCGCUGGCCGCCGCGCCCUUGCCCCUCGCGGCCUCGCUCCCGCUGUCGCUGGUCGCCCGUCAGUUGCCGCCUCGAGGCCUCGCCGCGCCGCCGCCGAACGCCUCACUGCGCCGCCGCUGGUCUAGCUCCCGUCGCCAAUCCUGUCGCCGCCCACCGGAAGCCGGUUGCCGCUCCCGCCGGUCGCCGCGCCGCCGCCGAACGCCACCACCUAGGGUUUGGAAAUGGGGAAUUGGGGAGCGGGCGAGCAGCGCGUGACUGCGUGAGGCGUGAGCGCGAGCCGAGCCAGGGACUCAGGAGGAGUGGGGACAACUACUACGUGUACAUGUGUAUAUACUGAUGUUAGGUAUUCCGGGGAAUACACAGGAAUCACUGUAGCUCCGCCCCUGCUAAAGUUUAGUCCCUCCUUCUCAAAUACCACCUAAGGGUAUUACCCCAGUGAGAGUAUGGUAGCUCCACCCCUGGCAACCGAGGAAGCUACGAGAUCACCAUGCAGGUGGAGGUCGUCCCUGAUCUUUCUUUAGCACCUCAAUUAAUAGGGUUUUAUGGGUUCUUUUGGACCGGAGAUGACAUCGAGAGAGCUCUCGUACGAGGUUUAAUCCUCUUAUAGUGCUAAAGGAGAUAUGAACAAUUUAAUUUAUUUGAAUUAACUGCGCAAUCCGAUCAAUGCACAAGUUUAAGAAACGUGUGCAUGAGCUCGAGAACAAUAGUCAGCAUGUCGGUGACCCUUCUUCUUACGGACUAUCCGUAAAUAAGAAGUCGUCACCUCGCCAAUCCUCUUAUAGUGCUACAGGAGACAUGAACGAUUUAAUUUAUUUGAAUUAGCUGCGCAAUCCGAUCAAUGCACAAGUUUAGGAAACAUGUGCAUGAACUCGAGAACAAUAGUCAGUAUGUCGGUGACCCUCCUCCUUAUGAACUAUCCUAUUACCAUACAUAAGAAGUCGCCACCUCGCUGGAGAUCACAAGGAAGGUGGUCUAGAGGAGGGUGUUGGUGUGGACUGUAUAGAGGGUGAUAACCUCUGCUUCCGUCAUGAGUGGGAAAACUUCUCAAGUGCUUAGUUUUUCUUUAAAAAAAGUAUGCACUGGAUUUGGCUUGAAAAGUGUUGUUAUAAUAUCAUAAAACUUAAAUUAUAUAUAUAUUUAUCUUCGUUAGAUAGUUGAAGUUUUAAAAGUUUGGCUCCUAAAUGCUAGUAAAUAUUUAUGACCAAGCACAUGUUUAGUGCGUUUGUAUAUUGAAAGACCACCACAUAACAACGAGCCAUGUGUUUAUCGACUCAAAUAACGAUUAGCUAGAGUAUUAUAGUUCGAGUUCGUCAAAUUGUUAAAGUGCCGUAGGCUCACCUGUCUCUUGAACCGUUGACGUCAGUUUUUUUUUUUUUUUGGCAUAUUGUCCUAAAUUGAAACGUCUCGAAUACGUCUUGUUGCUUAUUAUUUUUAAUCUCACUCUUUAACCGUCGAUCUGGUUAGGUUUACUUUGGAAUGCAGGAUAUGAGGUUUACUUUGCAAAACAGGAUAAAUAAAACAUAGGAAUAGGAAAGUUAUAGAAAUAUAAUAGGAUUGUAUAUGUAUAUAUAGGAUUAUCACUAAUCUCAGUACUUUAUAGCAUGCUAAGCCAUUGCUAAUGGACCACGCAGGAAGUAAAAAAUUAAGUAGCAAAAUAACUGAGUGUUGUUUCUGUUCCUAGCAUAUAGGAAAAUAAAAAGAAAGAGGUUUGACUGGACGGUUUUUUUCCCCGUAAUUUUCCUUUGAGUUCUUCCUAUGUCCCAAAGGUAGGAAUAGUGCCUAAAUCCUUUAUAAUGUGAAUACUGAGUUUUUCCUUAAAAAAACUGCAAUCCAAAGUACCCUAAUUGUGUUUCUCAUUUUCCAUCUAAUAUUUCCAUGUUAUAUCUACUCACUCUUACACGAAUGUAUACAACAUACUACCGCUAAUUACAAAUGGUUCUGUUACACUGUUUUUCCCAAAAAGAUAUACGAGUUCUAAAUGACUUUUUAAAAUUUAGAAUUGAGUUAAAGGGAUUAAAUUACUCCAUCCAUUCCAUAAUAUAAGGCACAACCACUUUUUUUAAAUGUUCCAUAAUGCAUGCAAUUAACUAUGACAUAUUCUCCAUUAAAUUAUUCCUUUUUUAAAUCAUCCACUCUCAUGUUAUCUAAUUUUAUUGGAUACAUGAGAGUAUCAUGCAGAUUUUUGAGCCAGGGGAUCAACACCAAACAACUCAGAUUUUUCAGCAGAAAAACAAUUACAAAAAAAUAUAUAAAAAGAAAAAAUAGGGAUAGCAAGCCUGCCUUUUACCGAGCCCAACCACCCGAGGCCCAUUAACAGACCCAAAACCAAACUUUUACCAAGACCCAUUAACAGGCCCAAAUAUCAUCUGAGCCACAUUGAACAAACAAUUUUGCUAUAUAUUUGUCGACAAAUUUUCUCCCAAAAAUUUGACAGAUAUAAUUACAGUACAAUCGUAGUGUAAUUACAUUGUAACUUACAUAUAAUUACACUGUAACUAUAAUGUAACUUGUAUGUAACUUUCAAAAAUCUCUUUGUAACAUGUUAUUUCGGUAAAUGAAGGUCAUGGGAACAAAUCCUUUCAGUAAAAUGGAGGUUAUGGGAACAAAUCCUUUCACAUAUGUAUGUGCUGCGAUUUUUUUUCUUCCUCACCAGAACAAAUCUUGUAAUAGAUCUAAUGAUUCAAAAUUACGUGAAACUUAUAUACAAGUUACAAUGUAAUUGCAUACAAGUUACAGUGUAAUUACACUACGAUUAUACUAUAAUUAAAUCUAUUAAAUUUUUAGGAGAAAAUUUGUCGACAAAUGUAUAUGUGGUCAUGCAAGCCCAAAGCACGCAUACCGAACUUAAAGAAGGCCUAUAAGCGUGAACGAAUCUCAAAUAAAUCAAACGGUCUAAAAAACGAAUGAUUCAGCGCUCAGAAAUCAUUCGACUGCUGUAUAGUCUUUCCGUUAUUAGGAUGAUCUAAACUACAAGAUCAUAAUAAUUAUUUUUUAGUCUUUAGAUUAAGAGUGGUUGUGUCUUAUAUUUUGGAAUGGAGGGAGUCCUAUAUUUAAAAUCGGAGAUAGCAAUUACUCCGAAUUCCGAAAGCUCAGUUUGACAUCUCCAGGAGCUCAUCAGCAAAAUCCUGGACAUACGUAACGCACGGAAAAAAAUUAAAAAUACACCUCUUUUUCAUUGGUUUUAUAUAAAUAUACACGUUUACGAAGAUUUUGCACAAAUAUACCACUGUCGUGAAAUGAAAGUGCGAGAUCGAGCUAAUUACUUGAUCUCGUGCGGCAGGUGUGCGAGACCGUCUCGCGCGAGACCGCUCCUUCGCUUCCCUAACCACCGUAUUCGCGUGAGUAAUAAAUUAAUUAGUGUCAUUAGCAGUUAAUUAAUUAAUUAAUAUUUAUUUAAUUAACAUCAUUAGUAAUUAAUUAAUCGUUAAUUAUACGCUAAUCAUGAGCCAUGUCAGGCCAUCUCGCACGCUGCUCAAGCGAGAUCGCUUCUUGUCUUGCCGUCACGCCGGUCUCGCGUCCUGGUCUUGCGAGACCGUGCGGUAUCGCUUAACCAUCCUGGCCUAUCGUCACGCUAUCGUUACUUUCGCUGAAUAAAUCAGCGAUAUUGUUUCGCUUUUGCACUUUCAAUCAACGACGAUAGUAUAUUUGUAUAAACAAAAUUACAUCUCGAAUAUUAAUGAGAAAAAAAUAAAAAACGGUAUAUUUUCAUAUUUAAUUCCGUAACGCACUGCCUAGCGAGGGUUGGCCAAGUUUCGCUUGGGGGAGUAGAAUUCUAGGUAGACACAGAUAUUUCCAAAGCAAACGAAACGUGUCGCCUUCCCUCCUUCCCAACGGGGAGGGUUCCGCACGCCUCCUCUCUCUCUCACACACACACACAGCCAGCCGGGUCAUAGGGCACGUGGGGCCCACCUGUCAGCUGCCGAUCGACAAGGACGAGUAGAUGAUCUUCUGCGACGUGUACGUGAGCUCACUGGCGUUCCUGCUUUUAUUAACGCCGAAAGAGACGACGACGACUUUUUGUGCUUUUAUUUACUAACCCUUGUUGUUGUUGUUUUUUUCAGAAACGUCCUCCAUAAAUCGUACAGUUGUUUCGUUGGUUGCUGUUAUCGUUACUGACUUCCUGUGCGCUGAAAGAUACCUUCGGCCAAGCGGGCUAAUUGUAGCGUGUGUAGCUUGGGAAUAAAGUAGCAGAAUUAAUUUUUGAAAUAAUAUUAUUUUUGAAAAAUUGUAAAAGUAGAGGUUGAUGUUGAAACAACAAUUUAGCAAUAGUAAAAUGGAUAGCGAACAAGCAGGAAAGUGGAUGGGUUAUGAGACAAAUGAUUUAUACAAGUUCAGGCCUUCUCAAUAAGAAUAAGAAGUAAUAACAUAUUUCUGUUUGAGGAUUUGAUUCACUUAUUUUGGUAUUGAUCUAAAGAUCUCAAGUGUGGUUAUGUUCACAAGGGGCCCUGCCUUCCUUAGAUAGUCGGAGGAGAUAAGAUUACAAGAUAGAGACUUUAUCCCUUACAGUCUAAAUCCCUAUAACUACUUUACAAUCGUAACUGACUAAGACUACAUGAUAUUUCCUUGAUAUGCAGGUUAAUACAAUAUCCGAGUCUUAGCCUAUACAUAUUCUAAUCAUAUGAUAUAUCCCCUAUAAUCAGUUGGAUAGUCUAGCCUUGUGGGUAUAUGAUACCCAUAAUUUCCACAGUAGCCCCUGAGACCUUCACAGUCUGAAACAAAACCCUUCUCUCAAACUACAUUAUAUAACAGCCGAAUGCUUCAAUUCUUCCUCCUGCAAUCUCCCGAGUGCUUUUAUCCCUAGUAGGUUGUGAAGGGCUGAAAAAUAAAAAUUAGGUGCAUCGACUAGAUACACCUAAUUAGGUGUAGCCCCCGACUAUGAGAUUAGUUGAAUAAACUAAACAUAUAGUCAAGGAUAAAAUAAAAUAACCAACCGAGUGGUUUAUAACAAUUAUAGUCAUCAAAAUGACUUAAUAUUAUACAACACAUAUUGUGUAAAUCCUUGAAUAAUAUAACUCAAGUGAUAUAUCGACUGCUUUUUAUUAAAAAAUAUUCCAAACAUAUAUUCAACCUAAGCCAUAAGGUUGAUUAAUAAAAAUAUGCACUUACGUGACAAUAAGCAAUGAUAUUGUAUCCAAUCAAUUGCUAAUAUAACCUAAGCAGUGUGUUGACUUAUAAUCAUAUAAAAAAGUCAGCAGGACAGUUAUGAAAAACUUCAUUGCUAGGCACCUUUUAAAAUACAUUGUAUCAACUCCUAAAACAUUGUAUAUCUGCGGUAUAUAAAAAAGGAUUUUAAGGUAUUAGGUACUUGAUCAUGCGUAUUUUUGUCUAAGAAAAAAACACCUAAGUCUCUAGGAGAAUGUGACAGACCACACCUGAAAUUAUGGGUCGAAAACACUUCAAGGGCCUCGGCCCAAAUGAACAGUGUUCUCCGAUAUCCUAAUUAUAAAAAAUUUGGUUUUUGGUAUUUCAACCAUUCGCCCUUCUCUGGUAGGCUUGGUUCUUGUAUUCGAUCCUACACAUCACUCGUCUUGAUAAUAUGGUAUUCCUAGACUCUAACCAAAGACUUAUUUAAAUUUGGAUUAUUUUUUGUCUUUUUUAAUUUUCAAGAUCACCAAUCGUCAUUAAUUUCUUCAUGGAACUAAUACACUUUCAAUCUUUCGUACAAACAUUAAACACAAUAGAUACGUUUUGUUUUAUCAUCAAUUCGCCAAAACCCACGGGGGAUCUAAAUGCACUUUCAACACGUUUAUUAGUAGGGUUUCAAUAAUGCCUUGUUGGUACUUUUGCAAUACAUAAACUCAAAUAAUUGUUUGUUCAAAAGCAUAGUAACAACAAUAAUAGAAUGCCUAAGGCUGUGUUCGAACUAUAAGGAAGGUUGGGGAUCUUCUAGUUCGUGCACAUAAAAAUGGAGUAGCUUAUUAAAGCACGAUUAAUUUAAGUAUUACUAUCUUCGUCCUAAAAUAAGUACAGCCGUGGGUAUCCGUGUCCAACAUUUGACCGUUCGUCUUAUUUGAAAAAUUUAUAAAAAAAUUAAAAAAAUAGUCACACAUAAAGUACUAUUCAUGUUUUAUCAUCUAAUAAUAAUAAAAAUACUAAUCAUAAAAAAAUUUCAAAUAAGACAAACGGUUAAACGUUGGACGUGAACAGUGUAAAACAUUACUUAUUUUGGGACGGAGGGAGUAGUUGUAAAAAACUUAAAAAAUAAAUCAAUAUAAUUUUUAACCAACUUUUUAUAUAGAUUUUUUUUUCAAAAAGAUUCGGGAAGCAUGCAUGCAAAAGAGAGAGAGAAAGCAGAAGUCGGGUUUUAUCUUUGAUUUGACUGUGCUUGCAUUUUAUUUUUCUCUCUUAGGAUGGCUAGGCCUUCUCUCCAUUCUAUCAUAACUAUCCUCCCAAUCUCGACAUUACAUCAUCUAAAAGGAGCACUAUUUUUUCCUUAAACUAUAAUCUGUGUUAAAUAACCUAGAAAGCAACUACUAUACUCUAUAUUAUAAGAUGUAAGCAUUUUUAUAAUUUUUCACGGAAAUUAAAGAAAUAGGUGAAAUUGAACGGUGGAAUGUUGUAAUUACUCCCUCAGUCUUAAUAUGUAGCAACCUCGGAUAGGUCCUAUCCGAGCUUGCUACGUAUUGAAAAUGAGAGGGUAGGGGUGUAGGUAAGAAGAAUUAGGAGGAGAAACUAAAUGAGAUAUGGUUGUGCUUGUUUGGGAUGAGAAAAAUGUAGAGAAAUAGUUAUAUCUUGGGAUAAAUUCAAAACUAAAAAAGGAUAUAUUUUGGAACGAUGGAGUAGUACUUUAGGAGGGAAGGAGUAGUGUAUUUAGCAAACUAACUACCCCUGGUAAUUGGCAGGUGUACGUUCGUGUUCAUAUAGAAUAGAGAUGAGUGUGUGAGCUUUGUGAGCGCAUAUAUUUGUAGUGCUGUGUUUUAACAAAAUAUCCACAUCCUUCUACUUCAAUAUAACCAAUCUAUAGAGGACCAUUUUGUAAUUACCACAACACCCAGAAGUCUAAACAGAUAGAGUACUGGAGGAGUAGUACUACUGCAAAUCCCCACCCCAAAAAAAUAAAAAAAAAAUCUGCUCUUAACAACUCCCUAUAAAGCUACCACUACGCCCCCCUACCGCGGAGAAGCAACCAAUCCAAUUCCGAACAAGCAAGGCACCAAAUCCCCCCACCAUGGAUCACCGCCUCCUCCUCCUCGGCCUCCUCCUCCUCUCCCCGGCGGUGGCCGCCGCCUCAGUCCCCGGCGAGGAGGAGCCGCUGAUCCGGCAGGUGGUCGGCGGCGGCGACGACAACGAGCUGGAGCUGAACGCGGAGCGCCACUUCGCCAGCUUCGUCCAGAGGUUCGGGAAGUCCUACCGUGACGCCGACGAGCACGCGUACCGGCUCUCCGUGUUCAAGGCCAACCUCCGCCGCGCGCGCCGCCACCAGCUGCUCGACCCCUCCGCGGAGCACGGCGUCACCAAGUUCUCCGACCUCACCCCGGCCGAGUUCCGCCGGGCCUACCUCGGCCUCCGCACGUCGCGCCGCGCCUUCCUGCGGGGGCUCGGCGGGUCCGCCCACGAGGCGCCCGUCCUCCCCACCGACGGCCUCCCCGACGACUUCGACUGGAGAGACCACGGCGCCGUCGGCCCCGUCAAGAACCAGGUUCCCCUCUCGUCUCCCGUCGAUUUUUCCCCCAAACCAAGGACUCCUCCUUUGAUUUCUCGAUUGAAUCAGCCGUCUUAUCGUUUCUUGAUUUUUUUUAAUUUUUUUGCUUUUGCAGGGAUCGUGCGGGUCGUGCUGGUCGUUCAGCGCGUCGGGGGCGCUAGAGGGAGCGAACUACCUGGCGACGGGCAAGAUGGACGUGCUCUCCGAGCAGCAGAUGGUCGAUUGCGACCAUGAGGUGAGAGGCGUUUGCUUCCCCUUUCUUGUUUUUGCGUACUGGUAUAUUAUUAUCCUUUUAUUAGGAGCAAGUUUUAUUUGUAAUUUUGUGAUUGGUCUGUGCUUCUAUGGGUGUUAUAAGAGAGGUUGGAUGGGUGCUAUAAGAGAGGUUGGAUUUUUCUGGCUUUCCGCCAAUGUUUUGUCAGCUGCUGCGCUGUCCUUUUCCUAUCUAUUUUCUUGGUUUGUGAUUGGGCAGCGCACCCAAAUGAGAAGGGGAAAGGGAAAUUGGGGCAAAUGAAUGGGAAAGGGAAAUUUGGGAAAGGAGUUGCAUGAUUCCUUGGCUAACUUUGAAAGGGAAAUUAUGAGGAAAAAAGAGUGGCUUGUGGUAUUAUCAGUGCUUAAGAAGUCAAACCAAAGUGGUGAACUUAGCAAGCAAAUUUGUCGUGGUCGAUUUUAUAGUGGUGAAGUAGGUGAAUAAAACAAAAGAUGAUGAAUGCAAGGCUGAGUGGAUAAAAUCUCCAAUUGAUACUGGCACAUGUCGCUCUGGAAGAUCGGUCUAGGUAGGCGUCUCUCUGGGUCUACCGCAGGUGGAUAAAACUAAGAUGAGAUCUAGGUAAGCGUCUCUCUGGGAGUUCAUGGUGACCUUGUGCAUUGAUAGGUCUAUGAAAUAAGAGAGUUCAUGCACCCUUGUGUGUUGGUACGUGCCUAUGGUAUGGUAACGAACAAGCGUAUACAAUUGGGCACAAAGGGUUGUUUGAGUGGGCACUUAAUGAACUGAAAAGUGCUGAACUUGGGAACCCUAUGAUUAGUUAAAUUUUAGAGAAAGGGAGUUAAGAAAGUACCCGAUGUUCUGGGGUUGUCAUGUAUUCCAGCAAUUUUAGUUUUUAGGUACUAGUGAAGCUACCAUGAAGAAGUUGUAAAUUACUCAAAUCUCAACCAUUAAGUUCACUUGAGUGAAAAAUAUAAAUGGAGUCGAUAUCGGCCGCAGGUUGUUUCUGUCAUUGCUUCAUUUCUUAUUUUACUGUCUCACUUGAUGGAUAGACAGCCAAACGUUUGUGUGCACUGGCUUGAUGUACUCUUUCGUUUUGGUAACUGGGCCCCAGGUGAGACCCCAUCUUGGUGAUAUUGUUGUACAACUGAAUAACUACUGUACCUUUUAUAUCAUUAUAUCGGUUAAGAAAAAAAUAAUCAAAUUUCCUCUUUUCUUUUGGAUGUGUCAUCAUAUUUUAGGGGCAAAUUUCCGGUUUCCUCUUUCAUUUGGUUGUGUCCAUCAUAUUUUAGGGGCUUGCUCUUGACCUAUUUCUUUCCAUAUUUACUUCUUGAAGCUUCACUCCUAAAUCCUAAUUAAUGAAAAAGUUAGUGCUUCUCUGUUCUGUUCAAAAAUAAAACAAAUCUUAUUUCCAUAAUAACACAAUUCACUAAACCAUCCUUACAAAGUCUGCACCACCGUUUUAAUUUCCGCCUAUAGCAUGGGUGAUUCUCUUCCUAGUUGAAAAUUCUAUGUAGGAUUUUUUGGUAGUAAGAUGUAAGUGGCUCUCAUUCUAGAAGGCUUUUCAUUACUAAGCUUCUACAUUAGGAAAUGCGAGAAAUAUUUGUUCAGAAAAAACAAUUUUCUCAUAUAUUUAAAAGAUAAUCAACAGUGAUUCCUAUGGUAAUUUUACAAAGUAGCACCAGGCUAAUGUCUUGCACAACCUCUACAAUUUGUCGUAACCAGCUUAAGUGAUUUUCACAUUGCUUUCAUCGCAAAGUACACAUGUAAAGCUUACCCGAGUCGUGCUCAAAUAAUUUUUAGCCUUCCUGGUAUUAUAAUACUUUUUUUGACUUGACAGUGGGAUAUGUACUGUUGUUAUUUGUUUUCUACUGUUACCUGUUUCAACUGAAUGGGGUAUCUCAACUUACUGGGCUUCAUUGUUAUCUAAUUUUGCAGUGUGAUUCAUCAGAACCUGAUUCAUGUGAUGCUGGAUGCAAUGGUGGAUUGAUGACUAACGCCUUCAGCUAUCUUUUGAAAUCCGGUGGCCUUGAGAGUGAGAAGGAUUACCCCUACACUGGGAGGGAUGGCACCUGCAAAUUUGACAAGUCGAAGAUUGUUACUUCAGUUCAGAACUUCAGUGUUGUCUCUGUCGAUGAGGAUCAGAUUGCUGCCAACCUUGUCAAACAUGGGCCACUUGCAAGUAAGUACUAUAACCAUCUCUCGGAAUGAUGCAUUUGCAGGUCUGACUGUUAUAUGUAAAUACAUGAAUAUAUUGUGCAAUUGCUGAUGAAUGACUUCACAUUUUCCUGCAGUUGGCAUCAAUGCUGCGUACAUGCAAACAUACAUUGGUGGUGUUUCGUGCCCGUACAUCUGUGGCAGGCACCUUGAUCACGGUGUUCUUCUCGUUGGCUACGGCGCAUCUGGUUUUGCUCCAAUCCGCCUAAAGGAUAAGGCCUACUGGAUCAUCAAGAACUCCUGGGGCGAGAACUGGGGAGAGCAUGGGUACUACAAGAUCUGCAGGGGCUCCAACGUCCGCAACAAAUGUGGCGUGGAUUCUAUGGUCUCCACCGUGUCUGCCAUCCACACCUCAAAGGAGUAGAUUCUGAUCAGUAGUCCCCCGACCAUCCUGUGGAUGGUUCACAGUUGGUGAUUCUGAUAUUAU